rnacentral:rRNA from 1 species
GGCUUGGUCGGGCGGUCCGCCUAACGGUGUGUACUGUCUGACUGAGUCUUACCUCUUGGUGAGCCGGCGUGCGCUUUAUUGUGUGCGUCGGGGAACCAGGACUUUUACCUUGAAAAAAUUAGAGUGCUCAAAGCAGGCUAGCGCCUGAAUACAUUAGCAUGGAAUAAUAAAAUAGGACGUGCGGUUCUAUUUUGUUGGUUUCUAGAGUCGCCGUA